AUUUCACAGUUUACCUCGAAGCAGACAAACAGACAGGAGGGAUGGGUGAAAUGGUAUUUUAUUGACAACUGAAGGCUUAGCGAAUGAUUGGCACGGUUGCAGCUGGCUUGAGACUCGAGCGGUUGCACUGAUGAAGAGAGAGGAGGUGGAGGAGUGGAGAGGCUGGUUUGAGUGACAGUGGAGGCUUUUGACAGUAUAUGUUUUGAUUUUGAUUUUAUAUGACAGGGUAGUUUAGUGACAAAGAUAAAACCUGGAAAAAUCAUUAAGUUAAAAAUAUCUAUACUGUGGGCCGCACAACAGUAUAUUUUUAACAUCAGGGGAGGGCUGGGGAGAGGGAGUGGGGGGCUUAAAUGGUCCCUGGGCUCAAUUUGAGGCUCCUGACAAUUCAGCAACAGCUUCUGCAUGGACAGGCUAUAUGGUCAAGUUAUAUGUACAGGCACUUGCAUGUAACAGGAAAUAGCAUUUUUUUCACUGCAAAAUAAGAUCGUGCAUUCCCCAUGAACAACAAAUGACUGCAUUCUCACUCUUUCCUCAUGGAGUUAUUAAAUUUCACUUUACUAAUUUUAUACUUUUCUAUUCUGGGCUAUUCUGCAAAAUUUGCUCAUCUUCUGUGUCUUAAAUUGAGGAAAAAAAGAGAAACUAUUGUCCAAUAGCCUCACCCUGACCCUAACCCUCACAGCAGGAGGGAGAACCUUCUUCAUGUAUGUUGAUAUGUUGAAAUCAAGAAAAGGUGAAGUAGCUCAAGGAAGAACAUUUAUGAUCAUUUCUCCAUGGACAUGCAAUCAGACCGGGAUGCUAAGGCAGAAGAACUCAGCGUCUGCAGUGCAAAAUGAUUAAUAUGGUGAUUAUUACUUCAAGGAAGUGAUAAAGUAAUGAUACUAAAUGUUCUUCCUUGAGCUACUUCACCCCACUGUAGUCCGUAAUGUAUUGGCCCGAGGUCUCCCAAACAAGCGGCUGCUGGAAGAGAGUAGGUGAGUCGUGUUUAGUCUCUUUGCUAAAGAAAUCAGGCAAAGCUAAAAAGAUGUUUGGUGGCUAGGACCCUAUAUGUACUGUUGGUGAAGUUAGGUGCUGUUCUGAGCAUUAUUUGUGGCUAUAGAGGGGUUUUUUGGUUGAGGUUUGUUUAUGGCUCCUCAGACCGCUGUGUAUUGCUAGCGUGCGGUCUUAACAAAAGUUGGUAUAACUAGAGAAGCAAGUGGUCAGCAACAUUCAUCCCUCGACGGGGUGUCUAACUCAGUGUUACGGUGCUUUUAGCCAUAAAUUAAUUUUACGCCGGAAUAUCCCUUUAAGACUUGUUUAUCAUGGUUAGUUUACUCUUUUCCAUAAUGGACCAGAAAUAUAUCAGAUAUUUAAAAUAAAUCAUUAAAAUAUUAUAUUAGUAUUUUAUUCAAUGUGACCUCUAUGUUUUGUGGUCUCUCAGUUCACUCUGAGCUGAACCAAUGAGUCUGUGGUUUUAUUUUGAAAGAUCCUCCCGGAAGUUGCGGUCAUUGUUGUUACCCGCUUUCUACAUUAUACAGCCUGUUGGAGAAAACUGAUAACUAAACCGGUGUGAUUGAUGAGAUGCUGUUUCUCUGAAAGAAGUGUGGACAGGGGACAUAUGGACGUUUUAUAAAUCGUUUUUUUUUAACGCCAGAGGCUCGAGUGAUUUUCAGACUCAGAGACAGUUGAUUUGUGGGAAUUUAACUCCGUCCGGGAUGAUUGACGAUCGAUGAGUUAAAGGUGAGCAUUAAAAACAAAAUCUUGACUUAAAGAUCGUUAAGUUUUUCUUAAAGAGCACCAUGCACCCUUCCUCCUUUUCCCUCUGCAUGACUAUAGAUAAAAAAAUGUUUUUAUCGCUGUUAAUUCUUAUAUUUCGUGAUAAUCUAGGGUCACAAUAUCCUCCUGUUUGGAAAACAAUUGAAAAGGAUCCGCCUGAGAUUAAUGUGAGCUUCUUAAAUUUAUGUAACAUCUUCAUUUUCCACUACCAUGCUCUCUAUUUACACACACGCCGAAAUUCAGCGUCUGUUUAUUUCCUUGUCCAGUGGCCUUCAUCGGUAUGGGAAAAGCCCCAAUGUGUAUAAAAAGUAAGCUUAAUGUUCCCGAGUCGCCUCUCAUUAAGUUUAACUUCGUAAGCAACAACAGCCAAACAAUAAAUGGGUCGUUUUUUGCCCUGCGCUUCACCUUCUAGGAAAAUAAAUUAACAAAAUUCAACAAACAAACAAAUCCACCAGCAAAAUUGCAAACGAUUGUUUUUCAAACACAAUUUCUCAUCAAAAAAAUUGAAAAUUGUGUCAUAUAGCAGUAAAACCAAAACUAGACCUGUAAAUAUACCUAUAAAUUCAGGCUGAGAAGGGAAAAGAAAAUCCUCUCCCAUCUAAAGAUGAUUUAUCUCUGGUUUACAGAGGAGCUUUGUGCCACCAGGCAGGGAUGUUUUCCAUUAGGCUCACCCAGAACCAAAACUGUCAUUAUUUUUCUUUUUGGUCUUCUUGCUGCUUUAUUAGGUGGUGUAAUUGGUGCUGCAAAGAUAAAAGUAAUAAAUAAUAAAAAGAAAGGCACUGAAAUAGGCCACAUAGCAGCUAAGGAAAUUUUAAGCUAUGACAAGCCUUAACCGAAGAAAAAGAUGUCUGAAUACAAAUAUUCUGAUCCAGGUACCAUUGGGUGAUGGUGGUGGAUAAACCCGCUUGGAAAUGCUGGUUGGAAGAGUUUUCUGUGACUUCCCAAUGAAAGCCAAAACAGUUUGACUUCUGGGGAUACCUUUAUGGCAAAAAAAUACAUUUCAGUUUAACUUACAUUUAAACUUUUCCGUCUGAAAUGACUGACGCAAAAGGCGAGUCCCAUUUUAAAAUUUCUACAAAGUGCAUCAUCUUGUACCUCAAUACCCUGCAGUGAAAUAGAAACAACAUUUUCCUCAUAUCUCUGGAGCGUCUUUGGGUUAAGCCUGUGGUUUCCUGACAAGAUAGAGCAUGACGCAAUGUUUUAUCCACACAUGCCAUGUCAUAGUUAAAAAAAACAACAACAAAUCGUCUUACUCUUAGCUCUCUGAACUUUCUGCCUCUUUGUUUCGUAGAGGAUGUUUUGCUUUCGGUCAAUUCUUAGAGACGGUUAUACAAUAUUAUUCUCACACUCAUGAUAUCAUUUAUUGCUGCGUUCUCUGUAAAUACGAACAAGGAUGACCUUGAAAGUGUUUUCAUGCUGAAAUUUGAGUUUCUCAGAAAAUCUUAUCAUGUGCUGAUCAGGUUUGAUGCAAGCAUGAAAAGUCAAAUAUUACAGAGGUCUGGAGUCAGCAAAGAUAAUCAUGUGAUGAAUACUUGUAUUUGAACAGAGACGGUUCUGUCUCGAGUUUAUAUUAAAAAGUGGAAGGAUCCCAAAGCACAUUUUAAGGCCCCCAAAAAUUCAUGAGAACCAGUGAAUAGAUACAGUGAAGAUUGUGCUUAAACACGCUUUUGUCAGAUAAUCAGUUUAAAGCAGUGAUGAUAGGAUAAACUGUACAUUUGUAAGCUGUCUGUCCUUUUAGUCUUUAGCUAUACACAAAUAAAGUUAAAGUUCAAGAAAUUGUCUACAUAAGUUAACUUUUAUUGAAAUGAAAUUUAAACCAUCAAAAUUAUGAUGUCCCAUAACUUGAAACUGGUCAAACGUCUGCUGAAGUUCUUAAAAGAAAUAAAAGCAACAAUAUAAAACUGUAAUUUAAAGGAUAUGUAGGUAUAUUUGUGACAAUGUGUGAAUGCAACUUGUGUAUUUUAGGAAAGUCCAGCAUUGUCUGGCAGAGAGAUCAUAAACCAGUCUUGAAUUAAAGGAGUGUUUCCCCUAUUUAAAGGUACAGCUUGUAGAAAUGGAAAUAAUUAUCCCCCCACGAUUAUAAAAAUAUGAUAACAGAGUCUGAGCGAUCAUUAUGCCAAGACAUGACCCCUCUCCUAAAGCAGCUCUCACUUUCACUUCACUAGAGGCAUCUCAGACUGAUGGGAGAAGAGAGCAGGGAGAGAACCGUAACUGUGUGUGUGAAUCUAAGGGACAUAAUGAACAUGAUGAGAAAGACAGUAGUAUUCACAGGUAUAUACUUUUGUGUUAACAUAAGCGUUAAAGAGCAGUAACAUCGAUUACUGUGGCUUCCAAGUAAAAGACAUUCAGACUCAUGAUGAAAUCCAAGCCAGAAUCUUGAUGUAAAAAAAAAAAACGUGAAAUGAAGGUUUGAAAAGAUUGUACAUUUUGUAAAUUCUGUAGCCUGUGUUUAAAGUGUAGCAUAGAAGAGCUCAAAUCCUUCAAUUUUUACGACAUUGUUAAAAAAAAAAAAAUUACUACAAGUGAAAAAUGACUUUUAAUCCAGUGAGUAUUAUCAACAAAAUUAAACCAAAGCCCUCAAGAUGAGGCGAAGAAUUGAUGCACGGUCACUUUCAGUGGUUGUAGUAGCAUGUAUGACUUUAAAAAAAAAAUCAGUUCAGACAGACGUUUAAGAGCAGGCUUUACAGCUUUUCUCCAGCUUUUACCAAACUGUUUUUUUAAUAUUGAAGGGUUUUAAAGUUCUUCAUCAAUCAAUCAAAUUUUAUUUAUAUAGUGCCAAAUUAGGGCUGGGCGAUAAAACAAUAACCAUAUAUAUCUGAAAUUAAUUUCCCUCAAUAUCAAUAUAAUACAUGGUCAAUAUCCUUUUCAAUAGUCGGCAUUCUGCCAAGUUUUGGUAGCCAAUGAAAAAGGGAGUUGCUCCAGGUCAGCUUCACGCUGAACCAAUCGUGUGCUGGAUUAGAACCAAGAAGCAAACAACUGCGUAGUAGCAGGCUGCAGCUACACGCAACCAUAGCACUUUAACAGGUGAAGCUGACAGCACUGUUGGUGAGAAAGAAAGAAAAUGAGUGCUACCCCCCGGCAGAAAUGUAAAUGAAGGCUCAACAGAUGACGACAUUGGCGACAACACCGGCAUGAAAACGACAGUGGUGUGGAGGUAUUUUGGUUUUUUGAGCUCAGACAUGAAGUAAUGUGCACUGCAAAUUAUGUCGAGUUCAUGUUCUCGCAAAGUCGUGGAAAACCUCAAAUCUUUAUCACCACCUGAAGCAGCGCCACACGGCAGAGCAGGCGCAAUGUAAAAAGUUACAAACCCCGAGUGGAGCAAGGAGCCCACGGCACCUGUGCAGCCGAAACAGCCGACCAUUCAGUCCACUUUCUCUAGCGCAAGAUAAAACAUCGAAGAGACACAAAGACCUCACAGAUGAAAAAAAUGUAUGUGAUAAACUUUUUCCCAUAUCACCCAGCCCUUAGCCAAUUCACAACAGUCGUCAUCCCAAUACGCUUUCCAAAGAAAAAGAGCAGGUCUAGACCGUGCUCAUUGUUUGAUGAAUUAUCAAGACCCAACCUUAAGAUGAGACAGAUUUGACCCAGGCAGAAACCUUGGGAAGGACCAGAGUCAUGUUAGACAGCCACCAUGCAGCUGCUGAGUUGGGGAGAGAUACAGAGAUAGGGGGAGAGAGAAAGGAGUAGGAGGGAGGGCAGGGGGAGAGAAAGAGACCAGGGACAGCAGCAACACUACAAACAACAGCAGCAACAACAACAGCUCAUUCAGAGUUGUGGUUGCAGAGCAAGUAAGGUUGAAACAGAGAGGUUUUCAAUUGCUUAAGUGCUUGUGAUGCAGAUUUCAAAUCAUCUGUGAUCAUUUUUAAUCAUCCUGAUAUCAAAAUAAUCAUGAUUUUGAUUUAUUUUUCCCUUAUAAUUGAGCAGCUCUUUGCUGUAUGUUACUGACUUAGUACAAAAGUGACGGUGAAAGAGGCUGGCCUCUGUGGCCCCGUACUUGUAGAUAUGAAAGACUCAUUCAAAAGCAGGGUUAACAAGUUGUUUCAGCCGAUUCCCUUUUCUAUGAAAGUCGGCAAAUGUCUGUAUAACUGAUGGUUUCUAAAGAUGAUGUUGUCAGAUAACCUGACUUGUAUCAAACCACAACUCCCUCUAUUUCCGUGUCCUUUGUCGUGUCUGUGGGAAUGCCCAAACACAGAUAAACAUGACAGUAUCUGAGCUAUAGGAUACAAUUUGUUUCUAAUAUGGAGACAGGAAUAAAAAUAGCUCUCCCAGAGGAAGGUGAGUGAGGAGGUCAGAUAAUCUGGUAAAUCAUUAACACAACAGAUCUCCACAAUGCAGUCAACCCUAACCCCGUGUGAUGUAAACAGACUGAAAUGACAACCACUCCUCUCUUGCAUAACUUCAUCUAUUUGGAUGCAAAUGGAGCGAGUUGUUUGUAUGAGGGCAUAAGUGCAUAAACACAAAUGUUCAGACGUUCAGCAAUGUGCAAAUUAAGCGAGAGAAUUGUUUUAAUCAUGCUCUGUGAGGGUACAACGUAAUGUAUGCUACAAUUAAACUGGCGAGAUGAGAUAAACAGAAACUGCCGCCAUAGUGGAUGUACCAGCAGCUAACAAUAUAAAGCAUGACAGCUCUCCCAUCCUUCACAGUGUUGGUCUUCUUUAAAAUCCCAUUUGACCAUGAGAGAUUCUGUAAAAUUUGCAAUUGUGAGAGUUGGUUGUGACAGUAAUCUGUACUGUAAGUGUGUGGAGUGCUGUGUUAUUGUUUCUCUCCACACAUUACAAGAAAAAUAACCUUAAACUUUCCAUUUUCAAUGAUGUGUGAGGUCUCUAUCCUCUAUCUCUCUGUAUCUCUCCCCAACCCAGCAGCAGCUUGGUGGUCGUCUAACAUGACUCUGGUCCUUCCCAAGGUUUCUGCCUGUUAAAAGGAAGUUUUUCCUUGCCACUGUCACUCAUGUUAGAUGAGAUGGGUCAAAUAUGUCCCAUCUUAAAGUUGGGUCUUGAUAAUUCAUCAAACAAUGAGCGUGGUCUAGACCUGCUCUUUUUCUUUGGAAAGCGUCUUGUGAAUUGGUGCUAUAUAAAUAAAAUUUUAUUGGAUUUGAUUUUGAUGAUUUAAUAUUUUUAAGUUAGGCAGUCCUUAGAAAACCUUGUUUGGGAUAGAUUUGGCCAACCACACCUUCUGAUUCCUACUCCUCUAGAUUGUUUGCUUCUUGGUUCCUCCCAUUCCCCCAUCUGAAGUCUGCAGUUUUUUUCUCUGGCUUGUGACCUAUCUUGUAGUGAAAACAAGAAGAUGGAUGAAGAUUGAAUACUAAUACAGACUCGAGCUUCACUUGGCAGAAUGGGCUGAUUAGGUUGCAACACAGACAGCUAACUGUCUUUCUUUGAUCAAUUUUUACACCCGUCAGCUGAGGGGAGUUCCCACACAAUUUCACAUAUCCUUACAAUCAGUCAAAGUGCAGGCCAAGUCGACCGUGAUAAAACCGGCACAUUUAAGCUUACAUUAAUGGAUUAAACCUACUGUUUAAUAUCAUAGAGUAGGGCAGACUGUAGGUUGACAUAACCACUCUGUUGGGCUGUAAAAAGAAACAAGUGUGGUUCCUUUAAACAUGAAAACCCUGCUGGGACGCCCAGUUCAAUGAAUGAUGGGUACACUGGCUCUGUGACCCCCUGCUGUCAGAGUGAAACAACUGACCUACUCUCUGUUCACCAGAACCUCAAAAAUUUUAUUACCCAUUUUCCCCCUUUCUGCCACAGUUUACUUUAAGAACAUUUGAUCUGUGGCUCAUUUGUAUGCAUGCACAUGCUUCAGGGGCUUUGCUUUGACCAUCUAUGAAUAAAUGUUGACUUGUAGAGGGCAGAAGAUUAGGCUCAACCAUGUGUGCACAGUCUUAGGUGGAUUGUAAUGUGGAAAAGGAUGGUAUGACAGUGCACAUGUACACGGGUUUAUAAAUCUGGAUUAUUCAUGGCACACACCAUGUCCAGGUUUUUGGUGUAAAGCCACUUUUAACAAGGAUUCAGUGCACUUUUAUUAAUGCAAGCAUUGGACAAAUUAAUUCUAGAUUAGACAGACAAGAAAUUUCAGUCUGUAGGCUCAUUAUAAUUAUGAUCAAGUAUUUGCAUGUUUCAAAAAAAGGACAUUUCUUCAUUAGACUAAUUGGGUUAUAUGACCGGAUCAGGAUGUGCUGCUGGCAAUAUGAGAGGACUUUUUCAUAAGAUAUCACAGACUAUAUUUCUCAAAUAUAAAACCAUUUGAUGGGGCAGAUCUGUUCGACUCAGCUCUGUGCUGUUCUGUGUUUAAUGCAGCUAUGUGUGUAUACCAUGUUAGUAGCAUAUAAGAGGGUCUGUGCAUUAGGCAGGCAGGAGCUAUUGUAGCAUUAGAAGAAUUAUAGAGACUCAACUUUAGAAAGUGUUUCCUACCUGUAACGCCUGCAAUUACAACACUGUACAACAAAGCACAAGAAAUGUGGAUUUCCUGCUGUUCAGAGUAAAAAGAGUGAAAAAAAAGUGCUUUAUAACAGAAGCUUGGAAUUACAAGGACCACUCAAUUUUCCUUCAAACAGUACCAAAUCACAGUGAAUGCUUUCUCAGGAUGAAUACUGUUCAGCAUUUCGAAAGUUAAAGGUAAGAGGAAAAAUUCCUUUUGAUCGGCAGAAACCUUGAGCAGAGCCAGACUCAUGUUAGACGGUCAUCUCCUGCUCCUGUGUUGGGACUGGAAAGACCAUAGAUGCAGAGAGUGAUAGGACAGCUAGAUAGGACAACCAACAAAAACAACAACAGCCCAUACAGAAAUAUGGUAAAAAAGAAUACUAUAUGUACUAUGUACAGGAAGAGCAUGCAUUUGAUAAUAGAGCUUAGUUUAAUUCAAGGCAAUUAAAGUCAACUGGUCUAAAACAUAGACUGUAUAUAGAAUGGACGCCAUCUGCCUUCUCACUGGUGAAGCCAUUCUGAGAACAGCACCCUCUGGUGACGGGCUGCAGUAUAGGUCAUAAAUCCCGCCUCCGCCAGCAAAGUUUAUGGGACUGUGGACAAGAAAGAAAUAAGAAAUUUAUUACACUGAAUUUUUUCCUCCCCUCGGUUGCGAAGUUGACAUGUAGUUACUGUAAGACUGGUUUGUGCUCAAGUCCUCUUUUUUCUGAGCAGCUCAGUUUAUAAAAGUUAUUAAGGGGUUCAUGUUUUCUAUGAUUGACACUUGAUACAGCCUAUGGGCGUAUGAAGAUUGCGUAGCUCACCCGGGUGAUACGCUGUUUGAGCCGAGCGUCAUCACAGCGACUCUCAGCGGCUCUCCCGCCGAGUACGUACAAUGCUACUGCGCAAUGUUGGUUUCAGGAAAUGGAGAAAAAUCGUGAAAAUACAGAGAGCUUUUCGGCUUCAAAUCCAUAUUCUGGCAGAAGGUGGAACCAAGUUGUCCAUAGUAUAUACAGUCUAUGGUAGCGUAGUAGCAUAGCAUUUGUACAAAAGGAGUUGAGAUGCAUAAUUCAGAGGGAGUCAAAAUGUUACAAAUAACUUUGUAGAGUUGUCUCAAGCCUAGACUGUAACUAUAUGCUUAUGAAAAAGGAAAGUUUUGAGCCCACUCUUGAAAGCUGAGAAGGUUUCUCUACUCUUGUGGUGCUCUGGUUGGGUAAUGGGGGAUCUCAUUAGUGCACAUUUGCAGGUAGCUUGUUGUAGUAGCUUCAACUGAAUUUCCCCCCCGGGAUAUAUAAAGUCUUUGGAUUCUGAAAUGAUGGGGCUUUAACUAUGAAGAUCUCAACCUAGAGGUGACAAAUUCAUAGACUAGUUUUUCUGUGUCGUCUGAGACAGCCAGGAUGUAUCUGAUUUUGUCGCUAUAUUGCACAGCAGCUCUGAAGAUUUGUUGGAUGUGGAGGUUAAAGGAUUCAUCCCGGUUAAAGAGAACUCUCAGAUUCUAGACUGUGGUGCUGGAUGCCACUACUGCAGUUAUAUUAUUAGAAAAUAUCUCUCUAAGGAAGCCAAGAACUUAACAUCAAUUUUAUCUGAUUUGUGCAGCAGAAAAUUUCUGGUCAUCCAGAUCUUUGCAUUUGUAAGGAAUGCCCCGAGUUUAAUGGAUGAUUGGAUUGAAUUAUCAACUCAAAGGAUAAUCCGUUUUUGUCUUCAUCCUCCUUUGAAAACAUGCAGCAGCCACAGUAAACAGAUAUAGUGUUGAAAGUCACUACUAAAGACAUAAAGUGAAAUAAAAAGUGCUCUGCGAAGACAAAAGUUCUUGGAGAAAUAGAGCGCAAUGAGGACAGCAGUAAAAAUAAAUGAGAGCAAUCAGCCAGAUGCAACAGUAAGACCCAGAAGUGAUGCAAUACACUCACUGUUUCGGAAACACUGUCAUUGAUAAGAUGGUUGAUCAGUAGUGUAUUUCUUUGAAUAAAUUGUAUGUUUAUUUUCAACAUAUCACGGCACAAUUCUGACCUAAUGUUGGCAUUUUCUUUUCUUGUUUAACACAAUCCUAAUACACAGGAGUAUAUAUUUCCUGACAAUUCCAGGAAUUCAUUUUGAAUCGGGUAACACUUUACAAUAACCAUAACUUAUAAACGGUAAAUAGAUCAUUUAUAAAUGGUAAUCAGAUAGUUUAUUAAUGUUUAAUCAUCAUUUAUAAAUAGCGUAGACCAUGAAUAAAUUGUCAAUUUUACAAUUCUAAAAACCUAACCCUAACCCUAACCCUAACCCUAACAGUAACUUUGCAAUAACCAUUUAAGUAAUGUAAUGUUUAUAGAUAUAGAAGUAUUACAAACAUCAGUUGCAACUUUACAAUAACCAUCUCAGUAAUGUUUAUAGGUGGACUUAAAACCAAAUAUUAACCAUUUACAAAGUGCUACUGACACACAUUUUAAUCUAGAUGUUUUACAACCAAUAUUUAAACCCUAUAUAAACCUUUAAUAAAUAGUCAAUUAAUAAUUAAUGAAAACUAUAUUAACUUACAUUAAUAAACUAUCUAUUUGCCAUUUAUAAUUGGUCUAUAUGCUGUUCUGAAAUGAUGAUUAAACAUUAAUAAACUAUCUAUUAACCAUUUAUAAAUCAUGGUUAUUGUAAAGUGUUUCCUGACCUUUACUUCUGAAUCGUCACACCUGUUAGUUUUGAAGAAUUACUCUCCAAACUGCAGGUAGAUAUUUAUAGUUUCAGAGAUUAAAGUGUAAUUAUAUUUACUUAUUUCAUUUUGGUUUGCUGAGUUAGAAAAUUCUGAUACUGUCAUGAUAUAAUUUGUAGUUCUUAUUCAUGAAAUUAUGGUAAGUUUAUGUUCACACAGAGACCUUGGGACUAAAGUUUACUCUGGAUUCAUGAGGGCUGCGGAAAACCUGGAUUUGAUAGUAGACAUGUAAGUUCAUGAAAGCUGAUCAAACAGUGCAUAAUCAGCUGUUCAGUCAUUAGCAUAAGUCCCUGUGAAUAGCAAACGAACACUAUAUACUGAGGUGUGGACAUGUGCUCUGUGUGGACCAGAUGGUGCUAAGAAAGAAGAAGAAGAGAAAAAAAAUGUUCAGAUGUAGAGUUCAAAGUUGUUUUGGAUGAAGUUGAAGUAAGAAAGAUAUUUUAUUUCCUCCUCAGACUGCACUAGCUCUUGUUGAGUGACAUUAUUAUUAAGCUCAUUGGGUGUCGAGUCAUAGGUCAUUGGUUAACCUCAUUGGAUAGGUUAGACCCCUAGAUAAAACACAUAUAGCUACUGGUCCUUGGGGUUGCCAGGUAAAGAGAAAAUCAAUUGUGUGAGUAUUCAUGUGCAUGGAUUGUGAAUGUGAGCUCUCUAUAUUGAUUGAGCUGGCACCUAGAGGCUCUGUGCACACACACACAAACAAUUAUGUUAAAACAAGGCUAUACUCUUACCAAUUAACCAGCUGUCUCUCACACUACUACAUUCACUAAACAAGUACCAUUUGUGCUGGUUCUACCAAGCCGCAGCGUUAAGAAGCACCAGUGUUGCCUGAUGGGAUCAGAAUUAUCAUACCAGAGACUCAAAAUUAUCGUAUUUUUGGGAAAGUUGUCGUACACCCAUCAUAAUCAAAAUAAGAGUCUUACUGUUGCAUGAUAGUUACAUAUAGUCACUCUGUUUGGUGUCAUACAGGCACUCACGAUUUUCUGGCUACAGUUUUGUGGUCAUUCACCACACCGCCCCACCACCACAUCAGCAGAGUAUGAUCAGCAGCUCCAACUCAGCUGUGUUACACUAAUGUGUCCCUUUAAACAAAUGACAGGUGGGAACUAAUGAGCCAAAUCAUGAGACCCAGAAGCCACCUACUUUUUUGAAACAGUAGUCAUAAUAACUGACAAGGAAAUAAAAAAUAAUCUAACUUAACUUAGUGAAAUUAAUUUUAGACACAAAAAUCAACUUGUACUCACACAAGGAUUUGGCUCCUGUAAAUCAACCUCCUCUUUAGCGGUGUUCGUUUUGCUCAACUGACUUCCCGACUGAGCAUGAUUGACAGCGAAUCAUGCGUGUUAGUUGGAGACAAACGUCGCUCAAACUACGACUGGAUGGAAAAGUCACGUGGUAGAAGAUGCCUUCGGGGUUCACAAAUAAAAAAACUGAAAAAUAAAUUAUCUGGCAGACUGGGACAGUCCUAUUGCGCCACACGUUCACGAAACUGUCAAAUUAUCGUACAUUUAGCCUUUUCUCUUGGUUAUUGAUCGUACAUCGUACACAGGGCGAAAUUAUCAUACAAACACGAUAAUUAUCGUAUAACUGACAACCCUGAGCAUCACACCCUUUGCAUCGCCUAUAUUGCCACCUUUUUUCGGCAAUUUGAAUUUGUUGAAAACACGCUUAUAAAACAGACCAUUUUGCAUUUUAAAACCUUGUCUGAAGCGCAAAUCUGCUUAUUACUUCAUGAUUUUGCCAAAUCAGUUAAAUUGCAUAUAUUUUGGUAAUGUUUAAAUUACGUGUUUCAAAGGGAUCUGCUUAUUGUGACUUAACAGAUCACUGUAUGAAUUGAAAUAGGGAUCUAAAAUAGGAUAACUCUAUGAGUGGUUGGAGGCAAGUGUAGAUUUAUACAGUUGCUACAAACAAAUCAGAAUGAUUUAAGUAUUAAUGAAUGCCGGAUCAUUUAGUUCUGUGAAAAGUUUACACAUACAUUAUGAAUGAAAAAUCACAUCCUGAAUAAUGUUUGAAUUAUUCAAAAGCAACGCUAUCUUUUUUGUUUUUUUUCCAAUCAAGUGCACUAAUACAUUUCUGGUCACGUUAUAUAUUAACUUUACACAGACUACUUAUGUAGGAAUUCUGCAGUGUUGGAAUAUUGCAGGCCAAAUGCUUUUAAAUCGAUGUAAAAUAAUGUAAACAGGUGCCCUAUGCACUUUUUCAGAGAUGUAUGUAAGUUAUCAUUUCAUAUUAUGUUGAUUUAUAGACCAAAAGUAAUAUAAUGUAAAAAACAUAUGUUUUAUAUAAAUGUGAGUCCCCCACCCUUUUAUUUGCCCAAUACCAAU